CAGGUCCUGCUGCUUCUGUAUCUGUGUUUUUGCAGUACUGUUAAACAAAGCAUGUCUGCAGGUCACUGUUGAGGGUAAAGUCAGAGGCUCUGCUGUCUUGCCCUGUUCUUCUACUGACAAUGGCCUUAAAAAUAAAGAUGUAACAGUUUAUUGGAGACAUAACAGCAGCCACAAUGUUUAUGACAUUAUUGAGGGUAAAGCAUCGGUGGAGAAGCAGGACACCGCGUACAAGAACAGAGCUGAAACCUUCCCAAAUGAGUAUAUGAAAGGAAACUUCUCGCUCAAACUCAAAAACCUUCAAUAUAAUGAUUCAGGAAAGUAUGUCUGCUACAUCACAAAGACACAUCAAAAUCCAAGCAUGCAACUUUUGGUCAGAGAUGGAGGAAACCAUGGAGCAGCAACAGAGAGGACUGUGCCAUUUUUAAUUUUGCUCCAUAUUCUGCAAUAUAUUUGACCUAGAAUGAUGUGUAUGAGCUGCACAUAUAAUACAGCAAUGUAGAUGUAGUGCAUAACUCAGAAACAGAAAAUGCCCUUCUAUAGCAAUCCAUCAGCUGAUUUUCUAACAUAAAGUUAAAUCAUUGCAGUUGGUCCCAGGUGUGAUGGCAUGUAUGAUCUUCAGUCUACAGGGGAUCUGUAACACCGAAAGAGAGCUGUGAGGUAUCAAUUACAUUCAUCUCAAUGGCAGUUGCUUUGCUGACACAUGAAAAAAUAAGUAUGUGGGCACUGAGUAUAAAUGGUUUUGAAUGCCGUUAUCUGAGCAAUAAAUGUUUGGCUGCUAAUAUCAGGGUUUUCCCUCUCACUUUAAGAGAGAGGGGGAAAAAUGCUGCAAACAUGCUGGAAUAGACAUAUGAAUGUUAACAGAGUUACUUUAUCAAUUUACUGUGAUGAUAUCAAUUGAUUGUGCCUGUUACUCUAUGAGGUUUUUAUUAUUUCAUAUGGAAAGGCAGAGAUCUGUAAUAUAUCAAACAAUUAAAAAAAAUUGUAAUAGUGUGAAAACAGGAAAAAAAUGUAGAGAAUAUUUGAUUACUUCAGCUGCAUUACUGAACACCAUUAUUACACAGUUUAUCACACACUUUACAUUGUUACUGGAUAGAUCACAUUAAAAUAUUAUGCUUUUUAAUGCAUCUGAUGGAGCUGACAUAAGUUAUGAAGUGAAUAAACUUAAAAAAAAAUGUUUCCUGCGACAUGGUUCUUUAGCGGAGACAUUUCUCUAUGAAUAUAUCAGGUUAUAAAAUGUAUCAUUACAUAAUAAAUACUGACAUUUUAAA